GAUGAACGCUAGCGGCAGGCUUAAUACAUGCAAGUCGAGGGGCAGCACAGGUAGCAAUACUGGGUGGCGACCGGCAAACGGGUGCGGAACACGUACACAACUUACCUUCUGGUGGGGGAUAGCCUUUGGAAACGGCGAUUAAUAACCCAUAUUAUAUAUGAGCUGCAUGGUUUGUAUAUGUACGUUUUAUUGCCGGAAGAUUGGAGUGCGUAUGAUGAGGUAGUUGGCGGGGUAACGGCCCACCAAGCCGACGAUCAUUAACUGGUGUGAGAGCACUACCAGUCACACUGGCACUGAGACACGGGCCCGAAUCCUACGGGAGGCAGCAGUAAGGAAUAUUGGUCAAUGGGCGGAAGUCUGAACCAGCCAUGCCGCGUGGAGGAUGACGGUCCUCUGGAUUGUAAACUUCUUUUAUAGGGGGCGAAAAAAGGGAAUUCUUUCUCGUCUGACGGUACCCUAUGAAUAAGCACCGGCUAACUCCGUGCCAGCAGCCGCGGUAACAC
rnacentral:rRNA from 1 species